GAUGAACGCUAGCGACAGGCCUAACACAUGCAAGUCGAGGGGUAGCAGGAUGUAGCAAUACAUCGCUUACGACCGGCGCACGGGUGAGUAACGCGUAUGCAACCUACCUUCUACAGGGGGAUAGCACGGAGAAAUCCGGAUUAAUACCCCAUAAAACAGGGACUCCGCAUGGAGAUAUCUGUUAAAGAUUAAUCGGUAGAAGAUGGGAAUGCGUUCCAUUAGCCAGUUGGUGAGGUAACGGCUCACCAAAGCAACGAUGGGUAGGGGAACUGAGACGUUGAUCCCCCACACUGGAGCUGAGACACGGACCAGACUCCUACGGGAGGCAGCAGUGAGGAAUAUUGGUCAAUGCGCGCGAGCCUGAACCAGCCAAGUCGCGUGAAGGAAGACUGCCUUAUGGAUUGUAAACUUCUUUUAUAUGAGAAGAAAAAGAGUUACGUGUAACUUAUUGCAAGUAUCAUAUGAAUAAGCAUCGGCUAACUCCGUGCCAGCAGCCGCAGUAA
rnacentral:rRNA from 1 species